rnacentral:rRNA from 1 species
AUUGAACGCUGGCGGCAGGCCUAACACAUGCAAGUCGAGCGGAGCGGCGGACGGGUGAGUAAUGCCUAGGAAUCUGCCUGGUAGUGGGGGAUAACGACCGGACACGGGCGCUAAUAACGCAUACUAGCAGCUGCGCCGAGGGCGGAUUGGCUAGUUGGGGGGGUAAAGGCCGUACAAGGCGACGAUCCGUAACUGGUCUGAGAGGAUGAUCAGUCAAACUGGAACUGACACACGGUCCAGACUCCUACGGGAGUCAGCAGUGGGGAAUAUUGGACAAUGGGCGAAUGCCGGAUCCAGCCAUGCUGCGUGGGUUAAGAAGGUCUUCGGAUUGUAAAGCACUUUAAGUUGGGAGGCGUUACCAACAGAAUAAGCACCGGCUAACUUCGUGCCAGCAGCCGCGGUAAUAC